rnacentral:rRNA from 1 species
GAUUUCUGGUUGACCAUCCUGGCCCGCUUCCUUCGGGGAGUGAGUGCUGGUAUGAGUCUUCCAUCCUUGUAGAGAGCCGUGCCUGCUGUUCACUCAGCUGGGCGCUGUGCGAUCUACAUCUUUUACUUUGAAAAAAUUAGAGUGUUUAAAGCAGGCUUACGCUGUGAAUACAUUAGCAUGGAAUAAUAAUAUAGGACUUUGGUUCUAUUUUGUUGGUUUCUAGGACUGAAGUAAUGAUUGAUAGGGAUAGUUGGGGGUGCUAGUAUUCCGCGGCCAGAGGUGAAAUUCUUGGAUUCGCGGAAGACUAACUACUGCGAAAGCAUU